rnacentral:rRNA from 1 species
AUUGAACGCUGGCGGCAGGCCUAACACAUGCAAGUCGAACGAGUGGCGGACGGGUGAGUAAUGUCUGGGAAACUGCCUGAUGGAGGGGGAUAACUACUGGAAACGGUAGCUAAUAACGCAUACCAUCGGAUGUGCCCAGAUGGGAGUAGCUAGUGGGUGGGGUAAAGGCUCACCUAGGGGACGAUCCCUAGCUGGUCUGAGAGGGUGACCAGCCACACUGGAACUGAGACACGGUCCAGACUCCUACGGGAGUCGGCGUUGGGGAAUAUUGCACAAUGGGCUCAAGCCUGAUGCAGCCAUGCCGCGUGUAUGAAGAAGGCCUUCGGGUUGUAAAGUACUUUCAGCGGGGAGGCGUUACCCGCAGAAGAAGCACCGGCUAACUCCGUGCCAGCAGCCGCGGUAAUUC